UAAACUUCGGAACAGGUGAGAGAAAAAUAAUCAAUUUUUUAAAGAAACUUUCUGAAGUUGUGUAUUUAAGUCAUGUUUGGUGUAUGUUUCAUGUCGUUAUUUAAUUGAUAGACGUAAUUAUUACAAUCAUUAGGUAUUUAAUGAAUUUACAGGUAUAUUCUGACACAGAUUACCUGAAACAUGUGCUUUUUAUGGCCAGGUGAAUUAUUUCUGACAGUAGUUUAUAAUAAUACAUCUUCGCGCUGCCUUAGGCAAGAUUCUCUCCUAACAACACCGAUGUGUUAAUUAACAAUUUAAUGGGCCAUUGGUUGGUAAUACUCAAAAUUAUAAUACACAUUACAGCUGAUUUAAAGAGGGGACCCCAGAUAGCAAUACUUUGUUGGGCCAACAUUGGUGAUUGGUUGGCACUGUUGGUGAAUAGUUGGCGUUGGCAGCACAACAAGAAACCGACGUUGGCCCAACAAAACUCAGCCAACAGUUAUUUUGACACUAUUGGCCCCUUGUUGGCCCAACUAAACUCAGCCAACAGUCAUUUCGACACCAUUGGCCCCUUGUUGGCCCAACGACUUUCCGCCAACUGUCAUUUUGGUGUUAUUGGCCCAAUGUUGGCCCAAUAUUUUCUUACCAACUGUUAUUUAAGUAGCUUGCCCAACGAUAUUUGACUUACUUUAUCCAUUGAUUCAGUGUAAGAUCUUCUGACUGAAACUACUGAACCAAUUUUAAUCGAACUUUAUUUGAAUGAUUCUAGGUUAUCGUAGAGACUGAAUAUAGAUUGUGUUUGAAGGGCAUUGAGGACUUAGUAAAAAAUUAAAUAAUAAAGUCUUACCAAAUAGGACUAUUUUAAACCGUCUGUGCCAAGAGCUAGAAAAUUCUUAGUAUUUUGAAUAAUUCAAAAGUUUUUAAAACAGUAUUUAUAAAAAAAAACCCAUAUCAUUGAUAUUUAAUGACAAUAUUGAAAUAUGAGCCAACAUUGUGCCAACAAUAUGCCAACGUAUUAAGUUCUUAUCUCCCCAUUUUAUACCACAGAUUGUUUUUUUUUUUUUUAAAUAUUAUUUCAAAAUGCGAACCAAAAAAUGUGCUCUUCAUUCUCUUUAUCUACUAUUUUCAAAUCUGUGUAGUCAUUUAAAUGUAUUUAUCUUAAUGUUUGAAUAAUUUUAUGCACAAACAAAAAAUACUUCAAACCAGCCCAAAAAAACAAAUAAAAUUUGAAUAUAGUUUCUGCAAAUUGUUAAUCUAGUCAUCUAAAUUCAACUGCUCAUUUGACACGAGUGUGAUUUUACACUCUCCACAUGCGAGCCGAGAUUGACCUACCAACAUAAUAUACAUUAUGUCAUAGAGUUAAAUAUACCUUAAUACAUAACAUGAAAUGCAUGAAAAACAUGUUUGACAGACUAGACUAAAGCCAUCGUUGGCGUACUGCUGUUCGACCAACAUUGGCCCAACAUAAUUUUAAAACUAGACGACGUUGGUAGACUGUUGGCAAAUAGUUAACAUUGUUGGCAGUUUGUUGGCAAAUAGUUAACUUUGUUGGCAUACUGAUGUUGGGCCAACAAAGACCCAACAUGUUGGGCCAACAAAGACCCAACAUGUUGGGCCAACUGAGGGCCGAUGAGCAAAAUGACGUUGGCCCAACAUAGUUUUCCAACGUUGGCCCAACAAUGUUGCCAACAGAAUGCCAACAUUGGCCCAACACAUGUUUGCUAUCUGGGACAGCUUUAAUUGUUACCUGAAUAAGUUGAUCAUGUUGAUUGGAUUGGAAGGUGUUUGAUGUUUUCAUAAGCCAAGAAAAAUUGAAGCAGGCUUACUGAGUGACAAUACUGGAAAAAAGGUUAAUAGAUAAGAAAUUAAGUGGAUAUAGUACAUGUUUUGGGAUAUCCUAUUCUAACAAGUUAAUUUGAGGUAAACUUUCUUGGAACAGGUACACUUUACUUAUUUUUUUAACUAUACUCAUAUCCAGUUAUCCAUCAGAUUUUUUAUGAUUUCUUGAUGUUAUCUUAGUUUGCAGUAAUUAUUAUUAUAUAGUUAUAAAUGACUCUCUUAUUGUACAUGUUGUACAUGUGUUGCUACUAUGUCAUGUACUAAAAAUGUAAGUGUAUGAUAAAGUUCUUGUGAUUUUAAAUAUUUAGUGUCAAAAAGUAUACCAAGGAGACAGCAAGUUGCCAACACCUUUGAAGUUUACAUAAAAGCUUACUUGUAAUUAAGACAUUAAUUAGGCUCACUCACUCAGACCAAGGAUUUGUAUAGCAAUUGAGACUUACAAUGCAAAUCCUCCCCUUAGGCAGACCUGGAUAUAAUGAAAUGAAUGAAUAGGAGAUUUUUAAAAGAAUGUCUUUGGAAAUAACCUACAUGUAAUAUUUAUAACAUCUGUUUUUUGGGGUCAUUUUAUAUGUAUAUUCGAAAGGCUAUUUAUUUUAAUACCUUAAGAUUUUCAUUUUGCAAACUUUUCAAAAUCAGAUUCUUUUCUAUAUUGUAGGAAUUUUCUUUUUGGAUUUUAAGUUGUAGCUGUAUCUAUAUGUAAGGCAUUGGAAUAUUAAGUAUGUCAUCUGUAUGUCAAGGCUAACAUAUGAUUGACAAAGUAAACUCCGACUAUGCCAUCACUAUGUCGUGUUGUGAUAAUAUACUGCAAAGGAUUAACAAUGAACUACCUGACGAGUGGGAGGCAAAGUUGGUGGCAGAGCAGGGGCGCAUUUAUUAUCUAAG
rnacentral:lncRNA from 1 species